AGCUGGUUGAAGGUGGGAGUUAUCUCAACUGAUUGUUCACAGCCACAGGUUGAACCCCUUAUUCUACUCUCUCCCCCUUCUCACUACUGCACUUGACUAAUCUAAA
rnacentral:sRNA from 1 species